ensembl:lncRNA
CCUGGGUGUUAUUCUUGAAAAUCUUUAAAACGAAGAGUUGGAAUAUUUUCAUUUUCCAGGUACUCCUCAUAAAACAUGUUUGUGACAUGAGGCCAUUUGCAUUUUAUUUAUUUUUUCAUUAUUUUUUUAAGAAAUUGCUGUUUUUGUAUCACUACCCCCACUUCCACAAGUGGGGUCAAAAAUGACCCCAAUUGAAAUCAAUGUGUUUUUGCAAUAAACUAAACACAUUUAUCUCAUGAUGAUUAAGAUGAUAUAUUUUGCUCAAAGAAAAGGGUAGCUUCCUUUUUGACAUGUACAUUUUUCUUUUUUUCCAUUCACAUUUUAGCACUUAAUAAUGAAUCAAUCAGGUCAAUCAGGUGACAAAACAUGUUUGUGUGCCCCUAUGUCUGAAGGAUGAACAGAGAACAUUCAACAGGUCCAGAGACCAUAAGACUGUCCACGCAUAUUUACACACACAAACAUCUUAUCUCACUGUGUGCACUGUCACAAGCUACUUGCUUCUGGCUGUAACCAUUGCACACAGGAGUACUGCAUUUCCAACAGCAAUCAGUGCCUUUGUAAUCUUUGUUUCGUGGACACAACUGGGACCUCUUUCUCUUCUGCUGGCUCUGUGUGCUUCUUUCCUGUGGCCAGAUCGCAGCAGUUUUUGUCACGCCACACCUUCCCAUUGCUUCAGUGAUGUAGGUUGGUAGGGUCGGUGUACCUUCCAGUCGACUUUUCAUGUUAGGUGUCACAAGCUCCUUUGAGACCUCUGUGAGGAAGUGUCGUCAUCCGUUGGUGAUGCCUACGCAAAAUUCAGGGUGCUGAGCCGUGAAAAAUUAAUAAGCAUUCAGAGCACCACGCCACCUCUGCGUCUGGCGUUUGCAGAUGUAGUUGCCAACCAUCUGAUCCAUAGUGUCUACUCCUCCUUUGGCCUGGUUGUAGAAGCUGAUCGCUUCUGUUUUUGUUUUCCUUUGGGCUGUUUUCAUCCACCAUCUUGCUGUGGUGCAUUGUGCUAAGCAGCAGAACUUUUCCCUUUUGUCUCACAUAGAUGAUCGUGGUCAUGCUGCCAUUGAACCCAAAUUCAGUGCUGUAGACCACUCUGGACCUGGAAGCCUUCAUGACUGGUGGAAUGUCUGACUUGUUCUGUCACAAAGUUCCCACAACAGUCAGACCCUUCUCCAGGAGAUGCUCUGCAAGAGGCACACUGGUGAAGAAGUUGUCCUUGGUGAUAUUGCGACCUUUGUGUCUGAAUUCACUGCACAACUGACAGACAAUGUUUUCCCUCAGAUUCUUCUGGAUGUCUUCCCCUGGCUAUCUCCCUAGGUACACAAUCCUAUCAACUGCAUAUAUGGUGCAUGCAUCACAAACCCACCCCUCCUGGGUGGUGAGACUGCUGACAUCAGGUGUAUAAGUGGGACAGUAUUGACAGUCAAAGUUGCAUCAGAUGUGAGAGAUGACAUCAGAUGUGUAAGUGGCACAGUCAGAGUUGCUAAGAAAUAAAGGUUCAUAGAAGAUUCCAUAGGAAUUGCUUGGGGUCAUUUUUGACCCCACUUGUGGAAGAGUGGGGUAGUGAUACAAAAACUGCAAUUUCUUAAAAUUAAUGAAAAAAUAAAGAAAAAUGCAAAUGGCCUCAUG